CAGUGAAACAUCUACCGUUUGGUCUAUCGUCAAAAAAAAGAAAACAAAUUAAAAGUGUCAAUCGGAUUUGCCUAUUGUUGAUUAAAAUAUAGAUGAACACGAAGUUAAAAGAAAAUAGCAGACUUUUUCGCCAGUAUAAAGGUUAUAGUUACUCAUAAUUUUGAAACCUUGUGGGGAAGGUACCAGAAGGUGUGGAUCGAUGAAUUCCAUAUAUCAGAUCUCUGUUUACAUGUUAUGCGAGUUAUAAUUAUUAAAAAUGUUGACCCUUUGUGUGGCAGUUACCGGAAGGAGUAGGCGGAUGUAUCCCAUCUCCAUACUGGAUAAUGUAUUGGUGGGUAUAUUAAGAUGCCUCGUUGUCUCGUCGUUUGAAAAGAAUCAAAUGCCGUUGUGAGGGAGGUACCAGAGGACCGGUCAAUUGGCCACCUUGAUCGUGGGAGUUAACGCCUUUAAAUUCAUGCCUAUACAAACGAGCCCGCUUCAAUUGACCCAUUGCAAGACAACAUUGUAUCAUUUAUUCGUGAGAAACCGGCUAAAAUGUCGAAAAGAGAAUGCCAAAAUUGGACUAAGAGGAUGGAUGAUUUGAGGCGCUGUCGCGGUUAACAAUUGCAUGAAAAAUCUUCAAAUAUUAAAAUAUAUGGACCGUUGUAUCUAUUCAAAUAAAAAUUUCAUGUAUAUUUCUGA